GCCCCAAUAGCUCAAUGGAUAGAGCAAGGCUCUCCUAAAGCCGAGAUUCGGGUUCAAGUCCCGGUUGGGGCU
rnacentral:tRNA from 1 species